ensembl:snoRNA SNORD87 small nucleolar RNA, C/D box 87
GCUGGCACAAUGAUGAUUUCCUUUUGCCGUUUACCCAUCUGAAUAAAUCCUGAUGUGUUUUUUCCUAAUUCUGAGAUGCCAGU